UAGGGAAUCUUCGGCAAUGGACGAAAGUCUGACCGAGCAACGCCGCGUGAGUGAAGAAGGUUUUCGGAUCGUAAAACUCUGUUGUUAGAGAAGAACAAGGACGUUAGUAACUGAACGUCCCCUGACGGUAUCUAACCAGAAAGCCACGGCUAACUACGUGCCAGCAGCCGCGGUAAUUCGUAGGUGGCAAGCGUUGUCCGGAUUUAUUGGGCGUAAAGCGAGCGCAGGCGGUUUCUUAAGUCUGAUGUGAAAGCCCCCGGCUCAACCGGGGAGGGUCAUUGGAAACUGGGAGACUUGAGUGCAGAAGAGGAGAGUGGAAUUCCAUGUGUAGCGGUGAAAUGCGUAGAUAUAUGGAGGAACACCAGUGGCGAAGGCGGCUCUCUGGUCUGUAACUGACGCUGAGGCUCGAAAGCGUGGGGAGCAAACAGG
rnacentral:rRNA from 2 species